rnacentral:rRNA from 1 species
CCCUUAGAGUUUGAUCCUGGCUCAGGACGAACGCUGGCGGCGCGCCUAACACAUGCAAGUCGAACGAGAGAUGAGGAGCUUGCUCUUCAGAUCGAGUGGCGAACGGGUGAGUAACGCGUGAGGAACCUGCCUCAAAGAGGGGGACAACAGUUGGAAACGACUGCUAAUACCGCAUAAGCCCACAGCUCGGCAUCGAGCAGAGGGAAAAGGAGUGAUCCGCUUUGAGAUGGCCUCGCGUCCGAUUAGCUAGUUGGUGAGGUAACGGCCCACCAAGGCGACGAUCGGUAGCCGGACUGAGAGGUUGAACGGCCACAUUGGGACUGAGACACGGCCCAGACUCCUACGGGAGGCAGCAGUGGGGAAUAUUGCACAAUGGGGGGAACCCUGAUGCAGCGACGCCGCGUGGAGGAAGAAGGUCUUCGGAUUGUAAAC